rnacentral:rRNA from 1 species
GGAAGCGAAGGAAACCAGUGUUUGUUGGUUCAUAUUUCCCUAGCCACUUGUGGUUUGGGCGCUGUGAGCUUGCGUGAGUUUGGGUUGGUUGAUCCCUUUGGAAGAGCGCAGACAGAGUUGAUGUCUGUUGCUAGCACUGGGAUUGACUGAUGCAGACGAAAUGGUUYUCUUUACCCCGUCUUGAAACACGGACCAAGGAGUCUAACAWAUGUGCGAGUACAGGGGUGUCAAACCCCGGUGCGUAAUGAAAGUAACAGUGGUUGGAUUUUUUGCACAAUCCGCCGGCCUCAAUCCCUCGGGAGAACGGUCU